rnacentral:rRNA from 1 species
CAGUCGCCGCGGGAAAACGAAGGGUGCAAGCGUUACUCGGAAUUACUGGGCGUAAAGCGUGCGUAGGUGGUGGUUUAAGUCCGUUGUGAAAGCCCUGGGCUCAACCUGGGAAUUGCAGUGGAUACUGGGUCACUAGAGUGUGGUAGAGGAUAGUGGAAUUUCCGGUGUAGCAGUGAAAUGCGUAGAUAUGCGGAGGAACACCGAUGGCGAAGGCAGCCCCCUGGGCCAAUACUGACGCUUAUGCACGAAAGCGUGGGGAGCAAACAGGAUUAGAUACCCCCGUAGUCCCUGUCUCUUAUAC